rnacentral:rRNA from 1 species
UACGAAGGGGGCUAGCGUUGCUCGGAAUCACUGGGCGUAAAGGGCGCGUAGGCGGCCGAUUAAGUCGGGGGUGAAAGCCUGUGGCUCAACCACAGAAUUGCCUCGAUACUGGUUGGCUUGAGACCGGAAGAGGCAGCGGAACUGCGAGUGUAGAGGUGAAAUUCGUAGAUAUUCGCAAGAACACCAGUGGCGAAGGCGGCUGUCUGGUCCGGUUCUGACGCUGAGGCGCGAAAGCGUGGGGAGCAAACAGG